rnacentral:rRNA from 1 species
AACGAACGCUGGCGGCGUGGAUAAGACAUGCAAGUCGAACGGGACUAAAUCUGUAGCAAUACAGGUUUAGUUUAGUGGCGAACGGGUGCGUAACACGUGGGCAAUCUGCCGAGAAGUGGGGGAUAGCUCGCCGAAAGGCGAAUUAAUACCGCAUAUGAUCAGUGAAGACAUCUUCACGACAUCAAAGCCGGGGCAACCUGGCGCUUCUUGAUGAGCCCGCGGCCUAUCAGCUAGUUGGUGAGGUAACGGCUCACCAAGGCUAUGACGGGUAGCUGGUCUGAGAGGACGACCAGUCACACUGGAACUGAGACACGGUCCAGACACCUACGGGUGGCAGCAGUCGAGAAUUUUUCUCAAUGGGGCAACCCUGAAGGAGCGACGCCGCGUGGAGGAUGAAGGCUUUCAGGUUGUAAA